CACGUAGGGUGCGAGCGUUGUCCGGAAUUAUUGGGCGUAAAGAGCUCGUAGGCGGUGUGUCGCGUCGGCCGUGAAAACCUGCAGCUUAACUGUGGGCGUGCGGUCGAUACGGGCAUCACUGGAGUUCGGCAGGGGAGACUGGAAUUCCUGGUGUAGCGGUGAAAUGCGCAGAUAUCGUAAGGAAGACCAGUGGCGAAGGCGGGUCGUCUGGACAGUUCCUGACGCUGAGGGCACGAAGGCCAGGGGAGGCA
rnacentral:rRNA from 1 species